GAUGAACGCUGGCGGCGUGCCUAAUACAUGCAAGUCGAGCGAAUGGAUUAAGAGCUUGCUCUUAUGAAGUUAGCGGCGGACGGGUGAGUAACACGUGGGUAACCUGCCCAUAAGACUGGGAUAACUCCGGGAAACCGGGGCUAAUACCGGAUAACAUUUUGAACCGCAUGGUUCGAAAUUGAAAGGCGGCUUCGGCUGUCACUUAUGGAUGGACCCGCGUCGCAUUAGCUAGUUGGUGAGGUAACGGCUCACCAAGGCAACGAUGCGUAGCCGACCGGAGAGAGUGAUCGGACAAACUGGGACUGAGACACGGCCCAGAAUCCUACGGGAGGCAGCAGUAGGGAAUCUUCCGCAAUGGACGAAAGUCUGACGGAGCAACGCCGCGUGAGUGAUGAAGGCUUUCGGGUCGUAAAACUCUGUUGUUAGGGAAGAACAAGUGCUAGUUGAAUAAGCUGGCACCUUGACGGUACCUAACCAGAAAGCCACGGCUAACUACGUGCCAGCCGCCGCAGUAA
rnacentral:rRNA from 1 species